GAUGAAGAACGCAGUGAAAUGCGAUAAGUAGUGUGAAUUGCAGAAUUCAGUGAAUCAUCGAAUCUUUGAACGCACAUUGCGCCCGCUGGUAUUCCGGCGGGCAUGCCUGUUCGAGCGUCAUUUCAACCCUCAAGCCCCCGGGUUUGGUGUUGGGGAUCGGCUCUGCCCUUCUGGGCGGUGCCGCCCCCGAAAUACAUUGGCGGUCUCGCUGCAGCCUCCAUUGCGUAGUAGCUAACACCUCGCAACUGGAACGCGGCGCGGCCAUGCCGUAAAACCCCAACUUCUGAAUGUUGACCUCGGAUCAGGUAGGAAUACCCGCUGAACUUAAGCAUAUCAAUAAGCGGAGGA
rnacentral:misc_RNA from 1 species